GAUAUAUACAAAGAUACAUACUUGAAAGUCCGUAGAGGAAACAAAUUUUUACGCCUUCUGUUUGACUGUUUGUCAUAUAUUUGGUUUUAUUUCCCAGGGAUCAGUGAAUUUUAACUCUGGAGUCCUCUAUGCUAAGGAUGCUCAGCUUACAGAUGAUGAAAUGUUCAGUAAUGUAUUUGCUGGAGCUGUGCUUACCCAAGGUUUGGGUAAAACAAGCUUUGGGUUCCUUCUGUCUCACUGGGAGUUGCCCAAUUCAGUUGCAUCUGGUGAAAUUCACCCUGAGACCUUACAGAACUAGCUCCAACUACGUGAGAGCCAUUUGCAGUUCUCUCCAGACACCUGGAGAAUGGGCGACGUUUCUGAGGAUCCGGCGAGCGUGCUUCUGUCAAAACUCAGUCUGUGAAAUUUCUGGGGAAAACACUUCUGUGUCCUGAAGGGUUCAAACUCUGGUGAGGAUCCAGUUAUCAGGUGCUCACCUGGAUGGUUCCAGCUCCCAAAGGGAAAGGCUCUCGUAUCCUUGUCGUCGGGCUCGGUGCUGUCCAAGAAGAUACAGAGACUAAAAAAAUCAUAAGAAGCAAAAUAUGACUGCAGGGAAAAGAAGCUGGAGAGAACAGAAGGGGCUGUUUCCAAAGUGACCUACAGACAUUGGAAUGAAAUCAUUAUUUACUGUGUAAAAGAAUCACUCUCCAAAGCAUCAGCCAGGGUCUAAAUGUGCCAUUCUGCCUUUUAAAAGUACCAACAUCACAGGAUUUUUCUCAGAUUAAAGCUUCCAUGGAGUCGGAUCUCUCAAGCCUGGCCCUUGAGAAUUGUGGGCCUCCUGUGAACUGGUCUUGCCAGAAGGGCUUGCUGAGUUUUCCAUUGUGUGGAAAAGAGAUCCCAUUUGCAGCCUGAAGCCUCAUGUUUCCUGUAGGAUUUCCACUCCUAGAAUUGCACACUUUGAAGGAUUUCUUAUAGCAGAAGUUUUUUGGGAACUAGGACUCUGGCUGGAUUUGGGUCUCUGGACUCUCAGGUGAAGUGACCUUGAGACACUAGGGCGUGCAGAUUUCCUUGCUGUUGUAAAGAGCUAUUGUUCGCACCCAGGAGCCAUGGUCUGAAUGGGGGUGUCACCUCUUAAAUUUGCAAAUGUCACAGGAUUUCUUCUAAAUGAAUGGUGCUAAGAACAUAA